UUACGGCCACAUCAUGUUGAAACACUGAUUCGUGUGGGACCACUGAAGUUAAGCAAUGUUGAGCCUGGUCAGUACCUAGAUGAGUGACUGCUUGGGAAUGCCAGGUGGUGUA